rnacentral:lncRNA from 1 species
AUUUGAAACUAUUUGUUUAAAUGAGAUCGCUUUCAUAAGAUAAUUACAACCAAGCACAUUGCUGUGUCAUUUUGCACUAAUUUAAUCUAAGCCCUUAUCCAUUUUAACAGGUUUGGGCCACCCUUUUUGUUCCAGAAAUGGUGUAUUUUUUUCGUGGCUGACAAGUGUAAUCUUUUACCUACGGAAAACAAAGGCAACAAGCAAGAAUUCUUUUCCUUUUGCAUUGAUUAGGAUCAUGACUUCCCUUGAUAGUUUAUUAACCCUAAUCAUUUUCACUUUUUCUUUAACCUUAAAAUAUUUAGAGGCUUUAAAGCCUUCAUUUACCAACUCACAAACAUCGAAUUUUAUUUGUAAAAGGUGGUGGUUGGCACUCAGAAGUCAUUGUCCAACUCCAACAAACUCUUUUUUAUGGGUUAAGAUUGUUUAAAUCAUGCAGUAGUACAUUUUGCAGGGAAACCCUGGAGCCCAAAACAUAGAACAUGAACACGAAUGUUGGGAUUCUAGACGGUAAACAGAAGUACAGAAGUACAGUGUCUAAACACUGGAUUGAUUAUAACUGCUUCCAUGGUCUUGAAAAAGAUGUUAUACGGUAAAACAUUGAAAAAUCAAACUUCCAAGGUUUCAGAGACGCCUGGGAUACGCACUUCAAUCAUCCUGGAUCAUUUUGUUUAAUGACUCACGCAAUUCUGAUAAGGCUGGAUAAGCUUUAGUGGAUACAUACGUAUUUGAUUAAAAUUGUACUACUAGCCAUAAAGCCCAACCUGUCUUUUCGCCUUAAUCCGAAUAAGCUUUUGUGGAUGAAUCCGUUUUUCAGUAAACUGCAUACGAUAUUGUCAGCUUCUACUUAUGACUAGCUGCCAUGGGGAGGAUUAGUCAUCUAUUUUCAGUUGAGAUUGUAGAUGAACUAUAGACAACGAGAAGGCUGCUUUCACAACAUAGAAAUUAGAAGUCAAUAACCUUUCUUUUUUUACCUUUAACCAUUACUUGCAUUUUCACUUGGGAAAAGCGCUCUUUGUUCCAUGAUUAAAACUUCCCUGCCAAAAAGUGUCAUCCACUUCCUGAUUUUCCUCUCAGCCACUUCUUUCAUAGAUUAAACAAAUGGAAAAGCAACAAGCUAGAUUUCCUUUUUUGGUUUGAUUAAACGAAAAAGAACCGAAUUGUUUCUUUGGCAUAAUGUAAUGCAUUGUUAAUAUUAUGCUCAAAUAUUCUCCACUAUCUUGUUUAAUGACAACUUAGGUGAACUAACAAUUAGCAAGAGUCCAAUCUCUCCCUGCGUGGAACCGAGUCAGCAGAAGAUAUGGACCAAACAUGGGGCUUGAGCGGCCACCAACACAUUUCGGCUGAUGACAGAGAUCAUUCAUUAGCAUUAUCCGUUGAAUUUUCCAUUUUAAGAUAUUAAAGUCAAACUAAUUUGUCGAUUAAAUGCUGAAUCCAUCAUUUUCUUUCUUUUUUUGCUUGGGGGAGAGAAAGGCUUAGAGCGCUGGCAACUGGCAACUUUCGAUCCCCCGCCUGCUCUUACGGAAACUCCAUUUUCCAAAGGCAGAGAAUAUAAACUCCCAUGUAAAAACCAGUUCCAUGGUUGGUUUAUAUACUGGUUUUCCUUUUAAACUCCCAUGUAAAAACUUGGGUUACUAAUUUGAAAUGAUC